AAGCGCCCCCUGGCGGGCAGGUGCGGCGAGGCAGCCGCUCCAACCCACAGCGCCGAGCGUCCGGGGAAGCCGGGCACCCGGGCCGCCGCCGGCUGCUGGAGGUCUGCUGGGGCGUCCACGAGGCUUGGUAGCGCAACCUAGAGUUUGGGACCAGAGACUGUCUGAGAUCAGCCCAGGUUGCAAAUGUCCUUGCUGACGUCACGUGAGCUGCCUGCAUUCUGAAUGUGGUGGGCAUCAUGUGCUACCUUCCAGGCUGCCACAGUGCUGCACACAGGUUUUCAGAUGGGUGAACAGUAAUUCAUUGCUGAAUUCCUUUAUGUGAACUUCUGCCAUGACCCCUGCCUGUUUUGUUCUAAGCUCAACUCUGGACCUUCACUUCUCUGGAAAGCUUUUCUUGAUUCCCCUGGCAUUUGGAUGUAACUAGGGCAUUUACCACACCACUGUUGUUUUUGGUUUGUCUUGAUGCCACCACUGACAAUGAAUGUGGGAAGCAAGCUGUGUCUUGGCCAUGCUCCCAGUAUGCACUACCAAAGAUGGACUCUACUUGAUGUUAUAGUUGCAGAAACAACUGGAAAUUCAACAGUUGUUUAUUUAGGUGGUUGGCGCAAAAUAAAAAUUGUUGGAAUUUCUCAAAAAA